AGGCACCGUUGAACUUGGAAAUAAUUUUAAAUUGCUGCACGUAUUAUAUGUCCCAAAACUCAAUUGGAAUUUAUUGUCAGUAGGUGAACAGCUUGAUGGGGUCUAUGUCUUCAAGGGUGUGGCGUCGGUUUGAGCUUACAAGACAGAUGGAAUUGGGGCAUACGAUUUGUGGCAUCGGAGAUUGGGACACCCUUCUUAUCAAACACUUAGCUUACUUCUUAAUCUCAGUAAUAGUAAGAACAAAACCUGUGAUGUUUGUUUGAAGGCAAAACAAACUAGAUAUGUUUUUAUUCAAAGCAGCAAUAAGGUGACUGAUUGUUUUGCAUUAA